AGAAUCAACGCUGGCGGCGUGCCUAACACAUGCAAGUCGAACGCGAAAGUCCCGCAAGGGGCAAGUAGAGUGGCAAACGGGUGAGUAACACGUGGGUGACCUGCCUUCGAGUGGGGGAUAACGUCCCGAAAGGGACGCUAAUACCGCAUGACAUCCUGUCCUUAGACGGACGGGAUCAAAGCUGGGGAUCGCAAGACCUGGCGCUUGAAGAGGGGCCCGCGCCUGAUUAGCUAGUUGGUGAGGUAACGGCUCACCAAGGCUACGAUCAGUA
rnacentral:rRNA from 1 species